rnacentral:rRNA from 1 species
GACGAACGCUGGCGGCGUGCUUAACACAUGCAAGUCGAACGGAAAGGCCCUGCUUUUGUGGGGUGCUCGAGUGGCGAACGGGUGAGUAACACGUGAGUAACCUGCCCUUGACUUUGUGAUAACUUCAGGAAACUGGGGCUAAUACCGGAUAGGAUCUCCUGCUUCAUGGUGGGGGUUGGAAAUUUUCGGCGGUUGGGGAUUGACUCGCGGCUUAUCAGCUUGUUGGUGGGGUAGUUGCUUACCAAGGCUUUGACGGGUAGCCGGCCUGAGAGGGUGAAAGGAGAAAUUGGGAAUGAGAGACGGACCAGACGGCAACGGGAGGCAGCAGGGGGGAAUAUUGCAAAAUGGGAGGAAGCCUGAUGCAGCAAAGCCGCGUGCGGGAUGACGGCCUUCGGGUUGUAAAAAGAUUUCGCCUGUGACGAAGCGUGAGUGACGGUAAUGGGUAAAGAAGCACCGGCUAACUACGUG